GGGAGACUUCUGUUAUAGCAAACAUUUAUUGAGAGUCUGCCAUGAACCUCACACCGUACCACACAUUCACAAACUUCCCAACUAAUGUUCACUCUGUAAGGCAAAGAAGCCAACCUGCUAAUGCAAAAUCUGAACAAGUUGCAAACACCGGAAGAAAAGUUUGAUUUUUUAUUCAAGAAGUAUGCUGAAUUGCUGGAUGAACAUCGUACUGAGCAAAAGAAGUUAAAGCUCCUCCAAAAGAAACAGGUACAAAUUCAAAAAGAAAAGGACCAGUUACAAGGUGAACACAGCAGAGCUAUCCUCGCUCGAAGCAAAUUGGAGAGUCUGUGCCGGGAGCUGCAGAGACACAACAAGACUCUGAAGGAAGAGGCGCUUCAGCGGGCACGUGAGGAAGAAGAGAAAAGGAAGGAAAUCACAAGCCAUUUCCAGAGUACCCUCACGGACAUCCAGGGCCAGAUCGAGCAGCAGAGUGAGCGAAAUAUGAAGCUCUGUCAGGAGAACACAGAGCUUGCAGAAAAGCUGAAAAGCAUCAUCGAUCAGUAUGAGCUCAGAGAGGAGCAUCUGGACAAAAUAUUUAAACACAGAGAACUGCAGCAGAAGCUGGUGGAUGCAAAGCUUGAGCAGGCCCAAGAAAUGAUGAAGGAAGCGGAGGAGCGACACAAACGAGAAAAGGAAUAUUUGCUGAACCAGGCAGCAGAGUGGAAACUUCAGGCGAAAGUGCUGAAGGAGCAAGAGACAGUCCUGCAGGCUCAGCUCACUCUCUACUCAGGAAGGUUUGAAGAAUUCCAGAGCACACUAACUAAAAGCAACGAGGUGUUUGCCACGUUCAAACAGGAAAUGGACAAAACAACUAAGAAAAUGAAGAAGCUGGAAAAGGACACAGCCACAUGGAAAGCCCGAUUUGAGAACUGUAACAAAGCUCUGUUGGACAUGAUUGAAGAGGCUUCUCUGCCGUGCGUCCUCCUGGAGGAAGGGAGGAAGCGUAGAAGGUGCCGAUGCACUUUUCCUCUCUCCAGCCCUCCUGACUGCUCCAAGAAUUUCAUCGAACAAGACUCAAAGAGGCCCAGCUGCUCUGCGUUUUGAUUCUUCUCCCUCUCUCAGUCCACACUGACCUGGGAGGGGCUUCUCAAACACCACAUUUCCUAGCGUGCUGUGAGAAGAGGACUGUGAGCUAAGAAGGGAGAAAAG
ensembl:lncRNA novel transcript